GCUCCCAUGGCGUAGUGGUCACUGCGCUCGCCUUGCACGCGGGAGACCCGGGUUCGAAUCCCGGCAGGGUCA
rfam:Asian citrus Psyllid, Diaphorina citri - Florida Strain, whole genome shotgun sequence.